CCCCACUGACAAAAUCACACCCACUGACAUAAGUUAAGUUGAUGCUGAACAUUUAUAGAGAACAAACAUGGGAUGUGAGCACAGCAAGACUGUGAGUGGUGCAUUUCAGCACUGGCAACAGUGACAUGAAAGACAAGCCAUGUUCUGGACGGCCAUGCACAGCUGUCACACCUGAAAUGAAGAGUGUCUCCAUCAGCUCAUCCAGGCAAUCAGCGGAUUACGACCAGGGAAUUGUGUACAGAGCUGAAUAUUGGCUUCAAUGCUGUUGGAAAUUAUGGUGGCAAUGUUGGAAUAUUGCAAAACUUGUGCCAGGUAGGUCCCACAAAUGCUCACAUAGGAACAGAAAGAACACCAAGUUUGUUAGGAUCUAUUGAACCAAUACGAGUCUGAAGGUGACAUGUUCCUGGAUUGUGUCAUCACCAGUGAUGAGAUGUGGUGUCAUCACUACAAGCCCGAGUCAAAACAGCAGUCCAUGGAGUGGCGACAGAUGAAUUCCCCAUUGAAGAAAAAGAACGUUUGAGACAUAGCCCUCAGUGGGUUAAGUGAUGCGCACUGUCUUUUGGGAUGUGAAAGUGGCAAUCCUUUUGGAUUUCCCGGAACACCAGGAAACCAUCAACUCUGACUGCUACAGUGCGUCUUGAACUUCCAGAGACAGGCCAGAGAAGAAAACCUUCCUCUUGCAACACAAGACAGGCCCCAUACCAACUUGAAGACUGUGGAGCACAUUGACAAUAUUGACUGGAUUGUCCUACCACAGCCACCAUGUAGUCCAGUUUUGGCACCUCCUGACUUCCAUCUUCUCUGGCCAGUGGAAGAUGGACUGUGUUUCCAUAACUUGUUGGCCCAGUUGUUGAACGGAAGAGGGCAAUGUCAGAUGGGCAGUAUGCAUCCUCAACCAAGGCAAAAUCCACAACUUAAACUUCACUUUCAGUCUGAUAAACUCAUGCCACAAGCUGAGAGGAGCGUACAUUUAUCAUCAUCAUUGGGAAGACUAUCAGGAAAAUUCUUUUGCCUUUUAUUCGUCUACAUUCCCAUUCAGAGUGAUUUUUUUCUACAUAAUUAUUAUAGUGUCC